AUUGAACGCUGGCGGCAGGCUUAACACAUGCAAGUCGAGCGGAGCGAGGGUGCUUGCACCUUAGCUUAGCGGCGGACGGGUGAGUAAUGCUUAGGAAUCUGCCUAUUAGUGGGGGACAACAUUCCGAAAGGAAUGCUAAUACCGCAUACGCCCUACGGGGGAAAGCAGGGGAUCUUCGGACCUUGCGCUAAUAGAUGAGCCUAAGUCGGAUUAGCUAGUUGGUGGGGUAAAGGCCUACCAAGGCGACGAUCUGUAGCGGGUCUGAGGGGAUGAUCCGCCACACUGGGACUGAGACACGGACCAGACUCCUACGGGAGGCAGCAGUGGGGAAUAUUGGACAAUGGGCGGAAGCCUGAUCCAGCCAUGCCGCGUGUGUGAAGAAGGCCUUUUGGUUGUAAAGCACUUUAAGCGAGGAGGAGGCUCUUAAGGUUAAUACCCUUGAUGAGUGGACGUUACUCGCAGAAUAAGCACCGGCUAACUCUGUGCCAGCCGCCGCGGUAAGAC
rnacentral:rRNA from 1 species